rnacentral:rRNA from 1 species
UACGGAGGGGGCAAGCGUUGUUCGGAAUUACUGGGCGUAAAGGGCGCGCAGGCGGCUGCUCAAGUCAGGCGUGAAAGGCCUGGGCUCAACCUCGGAACUGCCUUCGAUACUGCGGGUCUCGAGUCCGGGAGAGGUGAGUGGAAUUCCUAGUGUAGAGGUGAAAUUCGUAGAUAUUAGGAAGAACACCAGUGGCGAAGGCGGCUCACUGGCCCGGUACUGACGCUGAGGCGCGAAAGCGUGGGGAGCAAACAGG